CUAUCACUAACUAUACUUACUGUCCAAUGAACCCAACCAAUAAACAAUAUCUGUUCAACAUUACAACUACUAAUAAAGCUGGGAAUGGAUCUACUAGUAAUACAACUGUCGGAUUUCAAUCAAGUUCACAAAUUUCAAUCAUUUAUCAAGAUUUUUAUACAUAUCACAUGAACAAUUAUUGGCACCUUCAUUUCCUUUUAUUAGUAAGUUAGCCUAACGUACAACACCCACACAAGUUUGUUUACAUUUACAGGCUCAUCAGUUGUGUACUGGAGUGCCACUUGUUGAUAUUACAUUGUGUACUGUUAAUGAUUCUUGUUAUUCAUCAACAAGUAUAUCCAUUAAUCAUAGUACUUAUAAUAACAUUUUACUUGUUGCUAUUAUAAAUCUUCCGUCAAGAGAGAUACUGAAUACUAGUAUUAUCUUGUACUAUCAAAAUGAAGUAAAGUUUGAAAGCAACACUAUAACAAUCAGUACUUAUAAUCUUCAGCACAUAAUGUUG